rnacentral:rRNA from 1 species
AGAGUUUGAUCCUGGCUCAGGAUGAACGCUGGCGGUGUGCCUAACACAUGCAAGUCGAGCGAUCUUCUUCGGAAGAGAGCGGCGGACGGGUGAGUAACGCGUGGGUAACCUGCCUCAUACACAUGGAUAACAUACCGAAAGGUAUGCUAAUACGAGAUGAUAUAAGAGAUUCGCAUGGAUUUCUUAUCAAAGCUUUUGCGGUAUGAGAUGGACCCGCGUCUGAUUAGCUAGUUGGUAAGGUAAUGGCUUACCAAGGCGACGAUCAGUAGCCGACCUGAGAGGGUGAUCGGCCACAUUGGAACUGAGACACGGUCCAAACUCCUACGGGAGGCAGCAGUGGGGAAUAUUGCACAAUGGGCGAAAGCCUGAUGCAGCAACGCCGCGUGAGCGAUGAAGGCCUUCGGGUCGUAAAGCUCUGUCCUCAAGGAAGAUAAUGACGGUACUUGAGGAGGAAGCCCCGGCUAACUACGUG